rnacentral:rRNA from 1 species
UAGCUUGCUACUUUGCCGGCGAGCGGCGGACGGGUGAGUAAUGUCUGGGAAACUGCCUGAUGGAGGGGGAUAACUACUGGAAACGGUAGCUAAUACCGCAUGACCUCGCAAGAGCAAAGUGGGGGACCUUCGGGCCUCACGCCAUCGGAUGUGCCCAGAUGGGAUUAGCUAGUAGGUGAGGUAAUGGCUCACCUAGGCGACGAUCCCUAGCUGGUCUGAGAGGAUGACCAGCCACACUGGAACUGAGACACGGUCCAGACUCCUACGGGAGGCAGCAGUGGGGAAUAUUGCACAAUGGGCGCAAGCCUGAUGCAGCCAUGCCGCGUGUGUGAAGAAGGCCUUAGGGUUGUAAAGCACUUUCAGCGAGGAGGAAGGGUUCAGUGUUAAUAGCACUGUGCAUUGACGUUACUCGCAGAAGAAGCACCGGCUAACUCCGUGCAGCAGCCGCGGUAAUACGGAGGGUGCAAGCGUUCAUCGGAAUUACUGGGCGUAAAGCGCACGCAGGCGGUUUGUUAAGUCAGAUGCGAAAUCCCCGAGCUUAACUUGGGAACUGCAUUUGAAACUGGCAAGCUAGAGUCUUGUAGAGGGGGGUAGAAUUCCAGGUGUAGCGGUGAAAUGCGUAGAGAUCUGGAGGAAUACCGGUGGCGAAGGCGGCCCCCUGGACAAAGACUGACGCUCAGGUGCGAAAGCGUGGGGAGCAAACAGGAUUAGAUACCCUGGUAGUCCACGCUGUAAACGAUGUCGACUUGGAGGUUGUGCCCUUGAGGCGUGGCUUCCGGAGCUAACGCGUUAAGUCGACCGCCUGGGGAGUACGGCCGCAAGAUUAAAACUCAAAUGAAUUGACGGGGGCCCGCACAAGCGGUGGAGCAUGUGGUUUAAUUCGAUGCAACGCGAAGAACCUUACCUACUCUUGACAUCCAGAGAAUUCGCUAGAGAUAGCUUAGUGCCUUCGGGAACUCUGAGACAGGUGCUGCAUGGCUGUCGUCAGCUCGUGUUGUGAAAUGUUGGGUUAAGUCCCGCAACGAGCGCAACCCUUAUCCUUUGUUGCCAGCGAGUAAUGUCGGGAACUCA